CCACACUCCUGACCACUGCGCCAGCUGCAGGCUCUGUCCUUCACCCUCAGUCUGCAGGAUGGUACAGGCUGCAGGUAUGGCCAUGGGUCCCCAUGCCAGCUCCCUCCUGGUCCUGGUGCUCUGCCUGGGCCAGACCAUCCACAUGCAGGAGGGGGUCCUGCUCAAACCCUCCAUCAGGGCUGAGCCGGGACCUGUGAUCCUCGGGGACAGCCUGUGACAAUCGUGUGCCGGGGCCCAGCUGGGGCUGACCGAUUCCGUGUGG